GGUAACUGAUGGAUCAGGAUUUAUGCUUUCUGUCUUCGGAGUCCAUCUGCAUUUGGUCUGACAGCUGCUAACUGACAGUUUACAUGGGGAAAUUGAUGGAGUGCACUGCGGUCUAGAAAUGGGAGGAAGAACUGCAGAUAAAGGAAUAAUGCCAUAGCACUGAAGUGAAGAAGAUCCACUCUCCAGGGAACACAUCUCAACAGACUCAGACACAUGGGAGAAUUGCAGCUUGGUCUUCGCCCACAAAAUUACAUUUGAGGUCCGCUGGGACAUCAGCCGAUGGGUGUGUUACUAAAAGAAACAGAUUCAAAUUCUCUCCCAUGAAAAUGUUUUUUUCUCUGUGUCAGUAAAUCAAAAUAUUAAGUAAGCAGCAGAAAUGUUGCCAGCGUGAACUUGGGCCUGCUGUCGCAGUUAAUGUGCUGAUUCACUUACAUACUGCUUAAGCAUACAAUGCCAAACAGGCCUAAGUUUCAGGAUCUCGUGGUGUGUGUCUCUGGAGGGUUUAGACCAUGUUAAGUGAUUCACUGGAAGAGAAGAGGGCCACUGGGAGAGAAAGUAAGAUGAUGAGAUGGAUGGUUGUAGAGAGGUCGAAGGAGGUAAAGGGACCUAACUCAUUGCUGACCCCUGCAGGCUUGCUUUCCGGCGCCUCUUAAUCUCAAUCAGCAAGGAACGAGGGCUCAUCAGUCAUUAGCAAGGAUGAUGACCAGCGUGAUUGUGCUUUAGAAACCUGUCUCAGCCUCCAGCUAAACUACUCAUCCAUGACCAAUCGAUGGUAGUGGGGCCCACGGAGGAAGAUUCAAAGUGUGUGUACGUGCGCCUGGUCACCCCCAUCCCAGGUCCCCUAUGGAGCUCAGCCAACCUUUAUUACUGAGCAAAAGAGGGAAACAGGCCUGUCACAGGCAAAGUGAUAAAGCAUCAUUACCACACUGCAGAGGAGGAAUGAGGGCAGCCUGCUCUGACACAACUCCUUUCAUAAAGAGCUUCACGCCGGCAUAUUGGACAGACAGUCAAAGAGCUCCAACAAAGAACAAAAUGACUAGUCCGGCCAAAUCCUAUGCUGGUAUUGACAUACCCUCUUUCAUUAUACCCCACUGUGGUGUACUGCACCACAGGCAGGGCUCAGGCUCAGGCUGGUGUGACUUUACGGACGUUGCCAUCGGAUCUUUCACAUGACAGAUGGAAUAUUUAAUUUCACAUAGCAAGUGCUUUGCACCGUAACAUGAUGAAUCAGAACGAUCUGGGCAUAAGUGAGAGAGUCAACCAUCAUUUAAGACUGUUGAGCCAUUAGGACGUUUGACUGCCUGUAUACAUACUGUAUAAAACAUUAGCACUAUACAUUAACAUUAUAUAUUGUAUUAAUAAUAUUAUAUUAUAUUAUUAUAUUAUAUUAUUAUUAUUUGUCAUUCGUAGUAAUAAUUACUUAUUAUUAUAUUAUUACUCUGGAUUUCCGGAAAACUGUAGUUCUAAACUAAUAGUAAUUUGAUA
ensembl:lncRNA